rnacentral:tRNA from 1 species
UGUCCCGCAGCGCGGGGGCGCCACCGCGGAGGACGGUGACGGCGCGCAGUUCGAGCCGGCCGGGGCCG